ACUCAAAUGAAUAGACGGGGGCCCGCACAAGCGGUGGAGCAUGUGGUUCAAUUCGACGCAACGCGAAGAACCUUACCUGGGCUCGAACGGCUCACGAAAGUCCGUGGAAACAUGGAUUUCCCGCAAGGGACGGGAGUCGAGGUGCUGCAUGGCUGUCGUCAGCUCGUGUCGUGAGAUGUUGGGUUAAGUCCCGCAACGAGCGCAACCCUUGUCCUGUGUUGCUACUCCGCAAGGAGGCACUCUCAGGAGACCGCCAGCGAUAAGUUGGAGGAAGGUGGGGAUGACGUCAAGUCAUCAUGGCCUUUAUGUCCAGGGCUACACACGUGCUACAAUGGCCGGUACAAAGCGCUGCUAAGUCGUGAGGCGGAGCUAAUCGCAAAAAACCGGUCUUAGUUCGGAUUGCAGGCUGCAACUCGCCUGCAUGAAGCUGGAAUCGCUAGUAAUGGCGCAUCAGAACGGCGCCGUGAAUACGUUCCCGGGCCUUGUACACACCGCCCGU
rnacentral:rRNA from 1 species